CCUACGGGUGGCAGCAGUGAGGAAUAUUGGUCAAUGGGCGCGAGCCUGAACCAGCCAAGUAGCGUGAAGGAUGACUGCCCUACGGGUCGUAAACUUCUUUUAUAAAGGAAUAAAGUGCGGCACGUGUGCCGUUUUGUAUGUACUUUAUGAAUAAGGAUCGGCUAACUCCGUGCCAGCAGCCGCGGUAAUACGGAGGAUCCGAGCGUUAUCCGGAUUUAUUGGGUUUAAAGGGAGCGUAGGUGGGUUGUUAAGUCAGUUGUGAAAGUUUGCGGCUCAACCGUAAAAUUGCAGUUGAUACUGGCAGACUAGAGUACAGUAGAGGUAGGCGGAAUUCGUGGUGUAGCGGUGAAAUGCUUAGAUAUCGCGAAGAACUCCGAUUGCGAAGGCAGCUUAC
rnacentral:rRNA from 1 species